rnacentral:rRNA from 1 species
UGAGGAAUAUUGGUCAAUGGGCGAGAGCCUGAACCAGCCAAGUAGCGUGCAGGAUGACGGCCCUAUGGGUUGUAAACUGCUUUUAUAAGGGAAUAAAGUGGGUCACGUGUGUACUUUUUGCAUGUACCUUAUGAAUAAGGACCGGCUAAUUCCGUGCCAGCAGCCGCGGUAAUACGGAAGGUCCGGGCGUUAUCCGGAUUUAUUGGGUUUAAAGGGAGCGCAGGCGGUCUUAUAAGCGUGACGUGAAAUGCAGCGGCUCAACCGUAUGAUGUGCGUCGCGAACUGUGAGACUUGAGUGUAUUCGAUGUCAGCGAAUUUG